rnacentral:tRNA from 1 species
GCCGGAGUGGUGGAACAGGGAGACGCGCGGGACUCAAAAUCCCGUCCUGCCUAGCAGGGUGAGGGUUCGAUUCCCUCCUCCGGCACCA